rnacentral:rRNA from 1 species
UACGAAGGGGGCUAGCGUUGCUCGGAAUUACUGGGCGUAAAGGGCGCGUAGGCGGAUAGUUUAGUCAGAGGUGAAAGCCCAGGGCUCAACCUUGGAACUGCCUUUGAUACUGGCUAUCUUGAGUUCGGGAGAGGUGAGUGGAAUGCCGAGUGUAGAGGUGAAAUUCGUAGAUAUUCGCAAGAACACCAGUGGCGAAGGCGGCUCACUGGCCCGAUACUGACGCUGAGGCACGAAAGCGUGGGGAGCAAACAGG